rnacentral:rRNA from 1 species
GUGCGUUCAAAGAUUCGAUGAUUCACUGAAUUCUGCAAUUCACAUUACUUAUCGCAUUUCGCUGCGUUCUUCAUCGAUGCCAGAACCAAGAGAUCCGUUGUUGAAAGUUUUAACUUAUUAUAUAGUACUCAGACGACACUAAACACAGAGUUGGGCUC